rnacentral:piRNA from 1 species
AAAUGGGACCAACCUUGAUGAAUAUGUGGCU